CCUACGGGUGGCAGCAGUGGGGAAUAUUGGACAAUGGGCGAAAGCCUGAUCCAGCCAUGCCGCGUGUGUGAAGAAGGCCUUCGGGUUGUAAAGCACUUUCAGUGGGGAAGAAAGCCUUGGGGCUAAUACCCUCGAGGAAGGACAUCACCCACAGAAGAAGCACCGGCUAACUCCGUGCCAGCAGCCGCGGUAAUACGGAGGGUGCGAGCGUUAUUCGGAAUUACUGGGCGUAAAGCGCGCGUAGGCGGUCUGAUAAGCCGGUUGUGAAAGCCCCGGGCUCAACCUGGGAACGGCAUCCGGAACGGUCAGGCUAGAGUGCAGGAGAGGAAGGUAGAAUUCCCGGUGUAGCGGUGAAAUGCGUAGAGAUCGGGAGGAAUACCAGUGGCGAAGGCGGCCUUCUGGACUGACACUGACGCUGAGGUGCGAAAGCGUGGGUAGCAAACAGGAUUAAUACCCCGGUAGUC
rnacentral:rRNA from 1 species